GAUGAACGCUGGCGGCGUGCCUAAUACAUGCAAGUCGAGCGAACGGACGAGAAGCUUGCUUCUCUGAUGUUAGCGGCGGACGUGUGAGUAACACGUGGAUAACCUACCUAUAAGACUGGGAUAACUUCGGGAAACCGGAGCUAAUACCGGAUAAUAUUUUGAGCCGCAUGGUUCAAAAGUGAAAGACGGUCUUGCUGUCACUUAUAGAUGGAUCCGCGCUGCAUUAGCUAGUUGGUAAGGUAACGGCUUACCAAGGCAACGAUGCAUAGCCGACCUGAGAGGGUGAUCGGCCACACUGGAACUGAGACACGGUCCAGACUCCUACGGGAGGGCGCAGUAGGGAAUCUUCCGCAAUGGGCGAAAGCCUGCCGGAGCAACGCCGCGUGAGUGAUGAAGGUCUUCGGAUCGUAAAACUCUGUUAUUAGGGAAGAACAUAUGUGUAAGUAACUGUGCACAUCUUGACGGUACCUAAUCAGAAAGCCACGGCUAACUACGUG
rnacentral:rRNA from 1 species